AUGUGGCUCUUUAUUUUAUUUGCCUGUGCCACUGGAUGUGUACAUGUACUUUACUCUGAAUGUAUGCAUCAUCUAAUUUUGACUCAAUCUAGGCAGGAAGAAAAUGUAUCCAACCAAAGGGAACAUCAUAUUUUGUUAGUUGCCAAUGUACGAUACCUAAGCCUGAACACUAACCUAAGGUUCAUGUUUCUCCUUCUUAGCUUAUUUUAA
rnacentral:rRNA from 1 species